rnacentral:misc_RNA from 1 species
GAUGAAGAACGUAGCGAAAUGCGAUACGUAAUGUGAAUUGCAAAUUCAGUGAAUCAUCGAGUCUUUGAACGCACAUUGCGCCCGCUAGUAUUCUGGCGGGCAUGCCUGUCCGAGCGUCAUUUCAACCCUCAAGCCCCCGGGCUUGGUGUUGGGGAUCGGCGAGCCUCCGCGCCCGCCGUCCCCUAAAUCUAGUGGCGGUCUCGCUGUAGCUUCCUCUGCGUAGUAGCACACCUCGCACUGGGAAACAGCGCGGCCACGCCGUUAAACCCCCAACUUCUGAACGUUUGACCUCGGAUCAGGUAGGAAUACCCGCUGAACUUAAGCAUAUCAAUAAGCGGAGGA